rnacentral:rRNA from 1 species
GACAGAGGGUGCAAACGUUGUUCGGAAUUACUGGGCGUAAAGCGUGUGUAGGCGGCCAAGCAAGUCGGAUGUGAAAGCCCCGGGCUCAACCCGGGAAGUGCACUCGAUACUGCUAGGCUGGAGUGUGGGAGAGGUUGGUGGAAUUCUCGGUGUAGAGGUGAAAUUCGUAGAUAUCGAGAGGAACACCGGCGGCGAAGGCGGCCAACCUGGACCAACACUGACGCUGAGACACGAAAGCGUGGGGAGCAAACAGG